rnacentral:lncRNA from 1 species
UCAACUCUAAUCCAAACCCAUUCAGCCUCCAGUUGGAGUGACCAAUGUUCGUAAAAUAAAAGUUGGAACAAAGGAUUUGCCAACGUCCAGAUCAGAUCGCACAGCAGAGGGACCUCCAAGGCAGACAUCAGGAGAAACGGAGUCAAAGCAAGGUAUUCGGUGAAAGGACCUGACUGUAAUUCGGUAUAACACAUUCAUCCAAAUCAUACCAAUUUCAUGUAAAUAAUGGAAUUGUUUCAGCGGUUCUCCAAACCGCACCAGGGUCAGUCAUUCACUACAACUCCCAGGUUUCAGACAUAGCGAAAGGA